rnacentral:rRNA from 1 species
GUGGGGAAUAUUGCGCAAUGGGGGAAACCCUGACGCAGCGACGCCGUGUGAGGGAAGAAGGCUUUCGGGUCGUAAACCUCUGUCAGAAAGGAAGAACCUCCCAAGUCCGAAUAGGGCUUGGGACUGACGGUACUUUCAAAGGAAGCACCGGCUAACUCCGUGCCAGCAGCCGCGGUAAUACGGAGGGUGCAAGCGUUAAUCGGACUCACUGGGCGUAAAGCGCGCGUAGGCCGCUUUGUAAGUCGGACGUGAAAGCCCUCGGCUCAACCGGGGAACUGCGUUCGAUACUGCGAGGCUUGAGUCCUGGAGAGGGUGGCGGAAUUCCGGGUGUAGGAGUGAAAUCCGUAGAUAUCCGGAGGAACACCGGUGGCGAAGGCGGCCACCUGGACAGGUACUGACGCUGAGGCGCGAAAGCGUGGGGAGCAAACAGGAUUAGAAACCCGGGUAGUCC